rnacentral:rRNA from 1 species
CCUCAUGCCAUCAGAUGUGCCCAGAUGGGAUUAGCUAGUAGGUGGGGUAACGGCUCACCUAGGCGACGAUCCCUAGCUGGUCUGAGAGGAUGACCAGCCACACUGGAACUGAGACACGGUCCAGACUCCUACGGGAGGCAGCAGUGGGGAAUAUUGCACAAUGGGCGCAAGCCUGAUGCAGCCAUGCCGCGUGUGUGAAGAAGGCCUUCGGGUUGUAAAGCACUUUCAGCGGGGAGGAAGGCGUUAAGGUUAAUAACCUUGGCGAUUGACGUUACCCGCAGAAGAAGCACCGGCUAACUCCGUGCCAGCAGCCGCGGUAAUACGGAGGGUGCAAGCGUUAAUCGGAAUUACUGGGCGUAAAGCGCACGCAGGCGGUCUGUCAAGUCGGAUGUGAAAUCCCCGGGCUCAACCUGGGAACUGCAUUCGAAACUGGCAGGCUAGAGUCUUGUAGAGGGGGGUAGAAUUCCAGGUGUAGCGGUGAAAUGCGUAGAGAUCUGGAGGAAUACCGGUGGCGAAGGCGGCCCCCUGGACAAAGACUGACGCUCAGGUGCGAAAGCGUGGGGAGCAAACAGGAUUAGAUACCCUGGUAGUCCACGCCGUAAACGAUGUCGAUUUGGAGGUUGUGCCCUUGAGGCGUGGCUUCCGGAGCUAACGCGUUAAAUCGACCGCCUGGGGAGUACGGCCGCAAGGUUAAAACUCAAAUGAAUUGACGGGGGCCCGCACAAGCGGUGGAGCAUGUGGUUUAAUUCGAUGCAACGCGAAGAACCUUACCUGGUCUUGACAUCCACAGAACUUUCCAGAGAUGGAUUGGUGCCUUCGGGAACUGUGAGACAGGUGCUGCAUGGCUGUCGUCAGCUCGUGUUGUGAAAUGUUGGGUUAAGUCCCGCAACGAGCGCAACCC